rnacentral:rRNA from 1 species
AUUGAACGCUGGCGGCAUGCCUUACACAUGCAAGUCGAACGGCAGCACGGGAGCAAUCCUGGUGGCGAGUGGCGAACGGGUGAGUAAUAUAUCGGAACGUGCCCAGUCGUUGGGGAUAACGCAGCGAAAGAUGGGCUAAUACCGCAUACGAUAUAUGGAUGAAAGCGGGGGAUGGCAAGACCGCGCGCGAUUGGAGCGGCCGAUAUCAGAUUAGCUAGUUGGUGGGGUAAAGGCCCACCAAGGCGACGAUCUGUAGCUGGUCUGAGAGGACGACCAGCCACACUGGAACUGAGACACGGUCCAGACUCCUACGGGAGGCAGCAGUGGGGAAUUUUGGACAAUGGGCGCAAGCCUGAUCCAGCAAUGCCGCGUGCAGGAUGAAGGCCUUCGGGUUGUAAACUGCUUUUGUACGGAACGAAACGGUCUGCCCUAAUACGGUGGGCUAAUGACGGUACCGUAAGAAUAAGCACCGGCUAACUACGUGCCAGCCGCCGCCGUAA